GCACUGAUACCAAUACCAGUUCUUAAUACAAACCGACACUUAUAGUACAAUACCGGUUGUUAAUAAGAACCGGCACUGAAACUUGCUCCGGACCCAAGAGUUUUAUACAAUCCCGUUUUGGCUCGUUUUGUUUACGUCCGGCUCACCACAUCCACUCGUUAUCCUCACGACCGACAGCCACUCGACCACACCCGUCCAGACCUCACUCUUAUCUCUUCGUUCAUCUAGCCUCUCUCUUGCUCUUCUCGUCACCGCCUCCAUGGAUCCCGUUAAGAGCUCGAGCCCGUCCAGACGACCAGACCUCACUCGUUCUCUUCAUUCCACUCUCUUCACGUAGCGAGUGAGUAAGCUGCUACGCUGCACACGCUAUGACCCACGAACCAGGCAGUCGGUGGAGGGGUGCCGAAGGGCGUCACUUUCACGCCGCGGACAGAGCUAGAGCGCGCCGACAGGUAGAGCCGGAGAGUGGCCACGAGGAGUCACGCCGUGCCACAACGCUCUGAGACCGGUCGGGGACCGGUGGCUGCUCCAGGCCGGAUGCCUGCUCCCGCUUCGUUUUGAUUGUUUUCUUUGUGUUUGAGAUGAGAUGAGAUGAGUUGAUUUGUGCUUGUGUUUGUAUGGAUGAGAUGAGUUAAUUUGUGCU